CAUGGAAAACAUAUAAGAGUGGAUGGUGCAGCAGCUUCUCAUUGCUAUAACCGAUAGAUUGUUAAAACCGGUACCAUUAUAAGUGGGUUCGACUGUAUUCUCAACAGUGCACGCCUCGCGCCUUUUCUUGUUUACAAGGGAUUUAGUGGCCGGAAAACGUAUCAUUCAAUUGCAGUUUGGCGGUGUGCUGAACAUUGGCGCCAAAAUAUUGGGUCUUCCCAGAAGGUAUGAACUGGUAAAAAAGAAGCGUAACUAUAUUAGGUCAUUUCUUGUGUUCUUGAUGGCAAACGUUGGUGCCAGGAUACUGUACAUAACAGGAGCAUAUCAACAAGGUUCUAAUGUACAUGAAUAAGGCAUAACUUGGGAGCAUAUAAACAAGGUUCUAAUUAAUUUGAAUAACA
rnacentral:lncRNA from 1 species